UACGUAGGCAGCGAGCGUUGUUCGGAAUUACUGGGCGUAAAGAGUGUGUAGGCGGUGCUCUAAGUUUGGUGUGAAAUCUCCCGGCUCAACUGGGAGGGUGCAUCGAAAACUGGAGUGCUCGAGGGUGGGAGAGGUAAGCGGAAUUCCUGGUGUAGCGGUGAAAUGCGUAGAUAUCAGGAGGAACACCGGUGGCGAAGGCGGGUCUCUGGGCAGUAACUGACGCUGAGGAGCGAAAGCGUGGGGAGCGAACAGG
rnacentral:rRNA from 1 species